GUUUCCUCGGUGGCAGAGAAUCGCGUCAUGCCUAAGCCCUACGUUCGAUUAUUGGUAACGGACGACUUUUUCUAUUCAUAUUAAAAUAAGUUGUUGUCGUACAUGCCUCUCAAAGUGAAAUUCAUGCUUCCUUCCACCCGUCGUACCGGCUGUCAUCCAAAUUUUUCGCCGUGCGUGAAAUUCCUUUCGCGCGCAGCCGCGAGCGCCGUGCCACGACCUGAUUUCGCGCUCGCAUCUAGGUCGUACACUUUAACUUGACGAAGCGGGUUAUAUCGCGAAUUAUACGCAGCACCGUUUCACAAUUGACAAUCAUGCCGUACCAGCCAACUAAUAAGCAUAGAUGGCACCCCUCUCGACUCUGUACAGUGAUUUCAGCGCGUUAUGGAAGUAGUGGAGAUCGCGGUUAAGUCUUUCUACGAUUGUUCAUGUAGUCGCAGUAAUGGAUAAUUGGCCGGGUCAAACGAGGAAGAGUUGAGAGAGUUUAUUCCGGGAGGCAUUGUCCUAAAGUCGUACGACUGGCGGAUGAUGGUUGAUAUAAUUGGUAUAAGCAUCAAAAUUUCGUUUGUCGCGCGAUUCUGCUCGUGACGUCUGUCGGGGGAUUAUUCCGCGUUGAUACGGACGACUGUCUCAGUCGAGAUUUGAUCUCCUUGCGAUCCGAGAGAACACGAGCGCUUUGUGAGGGAGGAAAGACGUGAUUAGACCGCGUAGCUCUGCAAGAGAGAUCUAAGGAAGAGAUCGGUGUGUAGACGCUACGCCACGAGAAAGAGCCUUGGUAUCGUCCAAUUCCUGACGUAUGCAACCACCUUGAUGGAUCCACCCUUUGCGCUUCAACCCAGCUUUGCAUUACGGGGGUGACUGUGGGAGGAAAGCCGAGGAAGAACGAUGGGAGGCGAGUCCAUUGUGGGACUGGCGAGAAUCGAACGGAUAAAACGAGGAAAAGCCGAAGGCUCGAAGAGAUGCUGC